rnacentral:tRNA from 1 species
AACUAUUAAUUUUUGUUUUGAAAACAAAAUUUAAGAAAGUUAUUUUCUUGUAGUUU